UUCUUUAGUGAAAAUGGUAUUGUACGAAGCUUAUCAAUUAUUUUUUAUUUAUUCCGAUUUAGCAACCACUUUUCGAUACUUAAAAGCGAGGACCGAAUGGCACCUACACUUGGACUGGAUCGGACGGUUAUUUGGUCGAAUGGCUAGCGGCAAUAUUCAACUUUACGUAUUCGUUCGUGCUAAUUAAUCAAACUAUUGCGCAUAUGUACGGGACGCAUGAGGGUUUGUUCUAUCAACUCAUAAAUGAUGAGGGUAUCGACGGCGUGGCGAACUCUUUCUACUUAACGCUGGUUCGUGUAGCAAGGAUGGACUAUACCUUCCUCUCCUGACAUGGGGGGAUGGAUUUAGCCUUGUUGUGCCAUGUAUCAAGGAAUAAGAAGAACACUUUGAGUCCGUCUACCAUUGAUUCAGAAUUAAACAGCCAACCCAAAGAAGUAAGCAAUAUUUCGCAGCAAAGAAGUCUUUUUACUUGAUUUGGAUUUCAUAUGUUCUAUGUGAUGAACAUCAUGACGA